rnacentral:sRNA from 1 species
AGCAACGCUAGGAAGGGCGGGCAGAAAGGGCACGCUCUUGUGGGUGACUACAGGUUCGGAGACCGUUGAACCUGGAGGGGCCCUGGGAUGGACCCCGUGGAAAGAUUCAGAGACCGCGCCCUCUCCCUGGCGCCGCCUUCCCCUACACGCGGCGGGUAUAUUCUGUUGCAUUUGGCCCAGGACCUGUUUCCAAGACUCUGCCCCCUCGCACUUCCGUCCCUCCCGGUUUUGUAAAGUGAUGCUCAUAGGAACCCCCACCCCGCGUGACACUACUCCCAGCUCCUGGCUGACUUCUAGUCUUCUGGUUGAGGCUGCGCCUUUAGAGGACACGACCCUACCCACCCCUGUUUCCAGCGGAUGCCCGGGCCUGGAGCCCACAGAAUUCUUCCAGUCCCUGGGUGGGGACGGAGAAAGGAACGUUCAGAUUGAGAUGGCCCAUGGCACCACCACGCUCGCCUUCAAGUUCCAGCAUGGAGUGAUUGCAGCAGUGGAUUCUCGGGCCUCAGCUGGGUCCUACAUUAGUGAGUGUAUACGCUCCAGCAGGCAGAAUCUGGGGAGCUGGGCUCUCCUUUCCGCAGGAGGCCAACUCUGCAGCAAAGUGGAAGUGGAUAUUGAUUUAGGACACACUGGGGGAUCUAUGGGGUCAUCCCUUCUCUCCCAAAGCUCCAUCUUCUUCCAGGUGCCUUACGGGUGAACAAGGUGAUUGAGAUUAACCCUUACCUGCUUGGCACCAUGUCUGGCUCUGCAGCAGACUGUCAGUACUGGGAGCGCCUUCUGGCCAAAGAAUGCAGGCUGUACUAUCUGCGAAAUGGAGAACGUAUUUCAGUGUCGGCAGCCUCCAAGCUGCUGUCCAACAUGAUGUGCCAGUACCGGGGCAUGGGCCUCUCUAUGGGCAGCAUGAUCUGUGGCUGGGAUAAGAAGGGUCCUGGACUCUACUACGUGGAUGAACAUGGGACUCGGCUCUCAGGAAAUAUGUUCUCCACGGGUAGUGGGAACACUUAUGCCUACGGGGUCAUGGACAGUGGCUAUCGGCCUAAUCUUAGCCCUGAAGAGGCCUAUGACCUUGGCCGCAGGGCUAUUGCUUAUGCCACUCACAGAGACAGCUACUCUGGAGGCGUUGUCAAUAUGUACCACAUGAAGGAAGAUGGUUGGG